rnacentral:lncRNA from 1 species
CAAUAAAAGUUACCUUUUAGGCAGCCAUAAUAAUUGAAGCUUUUUCUUUUCUUCUUUUCUCCACAAGGGUCCUAUUCUGAGACAUUUAAGGAGGAAACUUAGAAUGGAGAGCGCGACAGAAGACUGAGAACAAUAGGAGUCUAUUCCUUAUGCACAGCUCAAGGGAAAACAAAUAUGUCCCUUCUACUCACAUCAAUCCACACUUAGACCCUGACAUGAGUAAAUGUGCAUGCACACGCGUGCGUGCGCACACACACACAUACAUUUUAACACAAAAUAAGUGUGUAGCAUGGAAAUGAGAAAGGAGAAGCUACAAGACUCAGCAUUGACUCAGAAAAGAAGUGUGAAGUUGGAGCUUCCAUUUCUCUGGCUUCAAGUUUCCACAUGGAGGGGCUUCCACAGAGCAAAACCCCACUGCCAAUCUAGGAUACUCCCCAAAUCCUCACUCCUUUCUAAGGUAAGGGGGCAAUUUAGCUGAUUCAUCACCACACGUGAGAGUCAUUGAACUUCCCCAGUCAUGAACAAAUUAAUCCUGUGAGCACAAAAUGAUCUGAGUAAGAACAGCAAACCCCCCAGGCACCUGGUGUUGCCUGGAAAAGAAACAGGUGUCACAGUGACAUAUUCCAACCCUACUACAUAAUCCAGAAAGAACACUCGCAAUCCACACACUGCUGUGAUUGUCACGCCUGCAUCAAGCUGGGACUCAGGAAACCUGGAGUGAUUGUGGCUGAGGUAUUACAUAGAAAACUGGGAAUCACCAGCAUGUAUAUUAUCUUCCUAUGGAACUCCGAUAUGUGUAGAUAACCAGGUAAGGUGCUUGUGCUCAGUUUGAAGACUGUGAUUGACAAUUGUCGGGGUGGUCACUACCCAAAGACAAAACACCAACAAAAUCUUAUUCUUUUAUUUUGUUUUUGCAGGACUGGGGAUUGAACCCAGUGGUACACUAUCACUGAGCAAAUCUACUAGGCUUAUAUACUUCAAUUUUUGUAUAAAUAUUUGAAUAGAGAUAUGUUUAGAAUAUGUAAUAUGUAUAAAACACAUACAGUUCAUAUAUAAAAAUAUUUUCUGGAAAAUUUCAAACAUACAAAAAGUAGAGACAAUGAUGUAAUGAAAUCCCCAUGAACCCUUAGUCCAGUUCAAUCAUUAUCUGUUCAUAAUCAAUUUGUUUCUUUUGUACCUCCACCCAUUUCCCUGACCCCUUCUUGAUUAUUUUGAAACAAAUACCAGACAUGAUAUUAUUAUAUAUAUUUAUAUUUAUAUAUAUAUAUAUUUCAGCAUUUGCUUCUAAAAGACAAGAACCCCCCUUUUAAAUAUAACCACAGUAGUAUGAACCCACUUCACUCUUUGCCCCUCACCACUCUAAAUCAACAAUUAAUUUCUUAGUAUCACCAAAUAUCCAGCAGGGUUCAAUCUUCAAUUGUCAUACAAAUGUCAUUACUUUUUAGCAGUUUAUUUAUUUAUUUUGAAUUGGAAUUUUAAAAGUGUUGUGUAUUUUGGAAGUCAUUAACAUGCAUAUUGGGAAUGGUUUGCUAUAAUGUUCCACUUUAUCUUUUUAUUAUUCUUGAAGUGUUUGUUUGCUUCUUUUUGUUGGUUGUCAAGGAGAAUCGGUUGCUUGUCUUGUGCUGUCUUCCGAUAUCCUGGAAUUUCCAUUAUUGUAUACUCUUAGUAGCAUUUAAUAUGUACCUUUUCUAUAAACCUACAGCUAUCUAUAGGUAUAAAAGUCAAUAUUUUGGCAAUUCUUCAUAAAUGUUUCGAUCACUUCUAGUAAUGACAUAAUAUCCACUUGUCUUUCUUUUCUAACGUUAG